GGAUGAACGCUAGCUACAGGCUUAACACAUGCAAGUCGAGGGGCAGCAUGGUCUUAGCUUGCUAAGGCCGAUGGCGACCGGCGCACGGGUGAGUAACACGUAUCCAACCUGCCGUCUACUCUUGGACAGCCUUCUGAAAGGAAGAUUAAUACAAGAUGGCAUCAUGAGUCCACAUGUUCACAUGAUUAAAGGUAUUCCGGUAGACGAUGGGGAUGCGUUCCAUUAGAUAGUAGGCGGGGUAACGGCCCACCUAGUCUUCGAUGGAUAGGGGUUCUGAGAGGAAGGUCCCCCACAUUGGAACUGAGACACGGUCCAAACUCCUACGGGAGGCAGCAGUGAGGAAUAUUGGUCAAUGGGCGAGAGCCUGAACCAGCCAAGUAGCGUGAAGGAUGACUGCCCUAUGGGUUGUAAACUUCUUUUAUAAAGGAAUAAAGUCGGGUAUGCAUACCCGUUUGCAUGUACUUUAUGAAUAAGGAUCGGCUAACUCCGUGCCAGCAGCCGCGGUAAUACGGAGGAUCCGAGCGUUAUCCGGAUUUAUUGGGUUUAAAGGGAGCGUAGAUGGAUGUUUAAGUCAGUUGUGAAAGUUUGCGGCUCAACCGUAAAAUUGCAGUUGAUACUGGAUAUCUUGAGUGCAGUUGAGGCAGGCGGAAUUCGUGGUGUAGCGGUGAAAUGCUUAGAUAUCACGAAGAACUCCGAUUGCGAAGGCAGCCUGCUAAGCUGCAACUGACAUUGAGGCUCGAAAGUGUGGGUAUCAAACAGGAUUAGAUACCCUGGUAGUCCACACGGUAAACGAUGAAUACUCGCUGUUUGCGAUAUACAGCAAGCGGCCAAGCGAAAGCGUUAAGUAUUCCACCUGGGGAGUACGCCGGCAACGGUGCAACUCAAAAG
rnacentral:rRNA from 1 species